AACGAACGCUGGCGGCAUGCCUAACACAUGCAAGUCGAACGAGAUCUUCGGGUCUAGUGGCGCACGGGUGCGUAACGCGUGGGAAUCUGCCCUUUGGUUCGGAAUAACAGUUGGAAACGACUGCUAAUACCGGAUGAUGACGAAGGUCCAAAGAUUUAUCGCCAGAGGAUGAGCCCGCGUAGGAUUAGCUAGUUGGUGUGGUAAAGGCGCACCAAGGCGACGAUCCUUAGCUGGUCUGAGAGGAUGAUCAGCCACACUGGGACUGAGACACGGCCCAGACUCCUACGGGAGGCAGCAGUGGGGAAUAUUGGACAAUGGGCGAAAGCCUGAUCCAGCAAUGCCGCGUGAGUGAUGAAGGCCUUAGGGUUGUAAAGCUCUUUUACCCGGGAUGAUAAUGACAGUACCGGGAGAAUAAGCUCCGGCUAACUCCGAGCCAGCCGCCGCCGUAAUAC
rnacentral:rRNA from 1 species